AUAGUUUGAAAAAUUACCGCCCUGUAAUGGAACUGAUAAUGGAAUAUUUCUGUUUCAGUCAUGUUAAGCGGUUGGCUGCCCUGUCACUGUGACGUAAAUAUCCGGUGUACAAGAUGAAGUCAUGUUAAGCGGUUGUCUGCCCUGUCACUGUGACGUAAAUAUCCGGUGUACAACAUGAAGUCAUGAUAAGCUGUUGGCUGCCCUGUCACUGUGACGUUAAUAUCCGGUGUACAACAUGAAGGUAGGUUUCUUUUUUGGUAUGAAGAUUUGUUUAUAAAUAAUAAGACGGUGUUAUAUGUGUAUGUUUAUAUACAUAUAUAUGUUCCAGUUGUGAUUAGUUAUCUGCCUGAAAGUAUAUCUUGAAAUAUUUAGUGAGAUAGUGCAAAUGGUAGGCUUCAAUGUGUAUAUUAUCGUGGACCAAGUAAUUGCGAGUUCGUCAAAUUUGACGAACUUUUCCUCUGUUCCACAACGAGAUCGAAGUGUUUUCCUUCUGAACCAUGAAAUUGAAGUAUGUGUGAAGGAAGAAUACACCAUAAAGUACAUUUAUUGAUUUAACGAAAGUAAGUGCAUAUGAGAAUUGUGGGUGUGUGGUUGAAGACAAUGUGUCUUUGAGGUUAAUCUUGCACUAUUAUUAGUAAUCUCGUAUGAAGUAUGUACUGUGGUUUGCACAAAAUGUGGUUUAGUGGCUAUAUGAGUAGACAGUGUGUUAGAUUUUAUGAGUGCAUAUUUGGUAUGAUAGGAAAGAGGCUGUAGUUCUGGUAUGUGGCCUCUGAAUUUGGGAGGUGUGAGUAGGUUAUUAGUCAGAAAAGUAUACAGGGGAAUUGAAAAGGUAUUAGCCUAUUUUAUUACGCAAUAUUUUAUUAAAGGAAAGUAUUACAAAAUCCAGCCAAGUCACAAGUAAUCUGGUCACAAUCAACUUUUAUUUCCUGUCUUACAAGUGUUCAAUGUGGCCACUACCUGCAGUACGAUGAAUAUCAUAGCGAUAAAAGAA